GGGUCUGUGGUGAAGUGGCAUCACGUGGGUCUCCAAAACCCGAGUCGGGGGUUCGAUUCCCUCCAGACCUGCCA
rnacentral:tRNA from 2 species